UGGGGAAUAUUGCACAAUGGGCGAAAGCCUGAUGCAGCAACGCCGCGUGAGUGAUGAAGGCCUUCGGGUUGUAAAGCUCUGUCUUUUGGGACGAUAAUGACGGUACCAAAGGAGGAAGCCACGGCUAACUACGUGCCAGCAGCCGCGGUAAUACGUAGGUGGCAAGCGUUGUCCGGAUUUACUGGGCGUAAAGGAUGCGUAGGUGGAUAUUUAAGUGGGAUGUGAAAUACCUGAGCUCAACUUGGGUGCUGCAUUCCAAACUGGAUAUCUAGAGUGCAGGAGAGGUAAGUGGAAUUCCUAGUGUAGCGGUGAAAUGCGUAGAGAUUAGGAAGAACACCAGUGGCGAAGGCGACUUACUGGACUGUAACUGACACUGAGGCAUGAAAGCGUGGGGAGCAAACAGG
rnacentral:rRNA from 1 species